GGCUCAGGAUGAACGCUGGCGGCGUGCCUAAUACAUGCAAGUCGAACGAGGUGCUUAAGUAGCAAUACGAGAGUAUCCUAGUGGCGAACGGGUGAGUAACGCGUUGGUGACCUACCCCAAAGUGUGGGAUACCAGUUCGAAAGGACUGCUAAUACCGCAUGUGGUCUUCGGGUUUAGAAGCCGAUGACUAAAGGAGCAAUUCGCUUUGGGAGGGACCUGCGUCCCAUCAGCUAGUUGGUAGGGUAACGGCCUACCAAGGCUACGACGGGUAGGGGACCUGAGAGGGUGGCCCCCCACAAUGGAACUGAAACACGGUCCAUACACCUACGGGUGGCAGCAGUAGGGAAUAUUGCACAAUGGGCGAAAGCCUGAUGCAGCAACGCCGCGUGUGCGAUGAAGGCCUUCGGGUCGUAAAGCACUUUUCUGGGAGAUGAGAAAGGACAGUAUCCCAGGAAUAAGUCUCGGCUAACUACGUGCCAGCAGCCGCGGUAAAACGUAGGAGGCGAGCGUUAUCCGGAUUCACUGGGUGUAAAGCGCGUGCAGGCGGUUCGGUAAGUUGGGCGUGAAAUCUCCUGGCUCAACUAGGAGAGGUCGUCCAAUACUACCGGGCUUGAGAGCGGUAGAGGAAGAUGGAAUUCCCGGUGUAGUGGUGAAAUGCGUAGAUAUCGGGAGGAACACCAGUGGCGAAGGCGAUCUUCUGGACCGUUUCUGACGCUCAGACGCGACAGCUAGGGUAGCAAACGGGAUUAGAGACCCCGGUAGUCCUAGCCGUAAACGAUGUGAACUUGGCGUCGGUGGGUUAAACUCCAUCGGUGCCGAAGCCAACGCGAUAAGUUCACCACCUGGGGACUACG
rnacentral:rRNA from 1 species